GGCCCCGUGGUGUAGCGGUUAACAUGCAGCCCUGUCACGGCUGAGAUCGACGGUUCGAAUCCGUUCGGGGUCGCCA
rnacentral:tRNA from 1 species